ensembl:lncRNA
ACCCCACUCGCUCAGUGGCCCACUUCCCAAAACAAAACGCCCACAGUUAGGCAAACUCUUUCCCGUCCAGGCCUUCAGACCGGCUGCGGCCGUGGUAGCGCGGCCGGGGCCCAAAUCCAGAGUUGAAAUCCAAAGUGUUAGGCCCCAUGCAAGGACGAGGGGGAAGGAACGGGAAGGCGGUCACCCAGAUCCACGCCCGCUUCCUGGGCGGCGUUGAGCAAGAGGCCCGGCCGGCCCCGCAGAGCCGCACGGCCGGCCCCACGCGGCCUCCAGCACCGGGGCGCUCCGGGCUUCCGCUCGCUCGCGAUCCGAAUGAUACUUGAAAAUGGUGGGAAAGGAGUCCUGAGAACGAGAGAGCCCGAGCGGUGCGAGUUUACCCAGCUGGUGUGGCCGCAUCCCGGCCGCUCCGGGCCGGCCGCGCCGCCCGCCGCCGCGCCGCCGGCUUCCUCCGCACCUUGCUACCCUGCGGUCCGCGCUGCCGGCAGCCUGAAAUCUUCUCCGGGGUACAGAGAAAGAGAAAAAAGAGAAAAAACAUUUUGGGGGGAAUGUUAUUUCGUUUCCUGCAUUUGGGCGCUGGUAGUUCAAUUCAAAAUAUGGGAGUAUUUCAGGGAGCCUGGGAAACACCGGGUGAAUAUUGUUGGUUGGUGGUGGUGGGUUUUAUUUUUUUUUCUUCCUCCCAAACACUCCUUGAUUGAGGAACAUAAACCUGGAAGCCGGCGCCUAUGCAUCUAGACCUGUGGAGCUGACUCUUAGAAUUUAUUCGAUGAUAAACCUCGGAUUAUUUAAAUGUAAAGAAUAGGUAUCCAGACUGAGAGGGGGGAAUGCAGGUUGGAAUGGAAAUGCAUUUUAGGAGGAUCUCUUUAAUUUGAAUUUGUAAGUGAGAAUCCCCUGAACCUGCAGUGUCCCCCAUUAAUGACCGCAGAACCCCCUGGAGAGGACACAGAGCUGUCGCUGGGAACCUGGGUGUGUGGGCAUUUGGGAGGGAGAGGCAGGGGUCUGGCUUCACCCUCUUCUAAUUUCUGGGGUGCAGAGGCGAGAAUCUGGUUGCUAGACCCUCCACCUUGGCCUCUAUCAGGGCUGCCUUUCUUCUGCUGGGGCAAAAACUAGGCCCUAGGGGAUCUAGGGCCCCCACACCCGCAAUGCUACAAGCGUCACAGGUGGGGGUCCUGCCAUCUAGAGGGCUGGGAAUGAGGGGGGCAUUCAGGAGGGGGGAGGGGGUAGUGAAGCUCUCAUUUUGCCCUGAUGCAAGUGGCAAUCCUGGAUACCCGCUGCUACUCCCGACUCACCCCAAAACUACCUCAGAAUGGCCCCUGUAUGGAGGAUUUGGGGUGAAUUCUUACUAGAAGAGGGGGCAGAGCUCCUGUGAGAAUAGGGAGGUUCUGGAAAGAAUCCCCUUCCCAGAUGGACCCUUGUGGCUCCUCCGCCUGAUUCCCUGCACCCCAAAUCUCCCCCCUUCUCAUUCUGGGGUUUCCCCAAAUAGCGAGAAGGAGAAGAAAAGAAGAUGGCGACUGAGAAAAGGGUUGCUGGUGGAGCAGCCAUGAAGAAAUGC